AUUGAACGCUGGCGGCAGGCCUAACACAUGCAAGUCGAGCGGAUGAAGGGAGCUUGCUCCUGGAUUCAGCGGCGGACGGGUGAGUAAUGCCUAGGAAUCUGCCUGGUAGUGGGGGAUAACGUCCGGAAACGGGCGCUAGUACCGCAUACGUCCUGAGGGAGAAAGUGGGGGAUCUUCGGACCUCACGCUAUCAGAUGAGCCUAGGUCGGAUUAGCUAGUUGGUGGGGUAAAGGCCUACCAAGGCGACGAUCCGUAACUGGUCUGAGAGGAUGAUCAGUCACACUGGAACUGAGACACGGUCCAGACUCCUACGGGAGGCAGCAGUGGGGAAUAUUGGACAAUGGGCGGAAGCCUGAUCCAGCCAUGCCGCGUGUGUGAAGAAGGUCUUCGGAUUGUAAAGCACUUUAAGUUGGGAGGAAGGGCAGUAAGUUAAUACCUUGCUGUUUUGACGUUACCAACAGAAUAAGCACCGGCUAACUUCGUG
rnacentral:rRNA from 1 species